rnacentral:rRNA from 1 species
GAUGAACGCUGGCGGCGUGCCUAAUACAUGCAAGUCGAGCGAAAAGACGAGGAGCUUGCUCCUCUGACGUUAGCGGCGGACGGGUGAGUAACACGUGGAUAACCUACCUAUAAGACUGGGAUAACUUCGGGAAACCGGAGCUAAUCCCGGAUAAUAUAUUGAACCGUAUGGUUCAAUAGUGAAAGACGGUUUUGCUGUAACUUAUAGAUGGAUCCGCGCCGCAUUAGCUAGUUGGUAAGGUAACGGCUUACCAAGGCGACGAUGCGUAGCCGAACUGAGAGGGUGGUCGGCCACACGGGAACUGAGACACGGUCCAGACUCCUGCGGGAGGCAGCAGUAGGGAAUCUUCCGCAAUGGGCGAGAGCCUGACAGAGCAACGCCGCGUGAGUGAUGAAGGUCUUCGGAUCGUAAAGCUCUGUUAUUAGGGAAGAACAAAUGUGGAAGUAACUAUGCACGUCUUGACGGUACCUAGUCAGAAAGCCACGGCUAACUACGUG